AGAGGAAUGUAAUUAUUAUGGAUAGUAAACAUAUACUGCUAGUAAAAAAUUGACUGUGAUUUUUUUACAGACUAAUAGUUGAUAGUAAAAUGGAUGUUGACCCUUCACAUAGGCAAGAUUAUGCCGUCUUCUUGAGAUUUGAGACUGUGGGAAGUAAAGAUGGAUGUUUGAGAGAUGAUAACUCUGAAAUUAUCAAAAGUGAUCAGCUUCAGAAAGUGGAAUUAGCACUGACAGGUUCAGGGCUUCCUGUCUUACUGCAUUUUGAUCCAGGCAAAGUCUUUAAAUUUUUACCUUGUUUCAUGGGUAAACAUUUAGACAUUAUGUGCUUUGUACGAAAUCAAUCUGAAGAUCUUCCUGUCACAUACCGUUUUCCAAAGACUGCACAUUUUAAAAUUGAUCCUAGUAGGGGAAAGAUCAAUGAAGGGUGUAUCCAGGUAAGAUAAGUUUUCUUCAUUUUCUUUCCACAUUGCUUCAGACACUUUUUAGGUCUGCUAAAUUGCUGUGCAGAGUAUUAAAAACACAUUUGUUCUACAGAUGCUUAUAAAAUGUACCGCUUAUGUGGCCUAGCAUUAGUUAUAAAUACUUUUGUAUGUAUAGUCGUAAAUAAUCUGUGAUCAUUUGUUAAGUACCUGUUAGGUGCCAGGAAAGUACUUGAAGUUCUAGGGAAGUUAAAUAAGUGCAAAACAUAAUUACUGCUUCUAAAGGUAUUUUUAAAGUAAUGCAGAAUUUUAAGACAUAUACGCAAACUCAUACGAUUUAAGAAGCAUGUAAAAUAUGCUAAAAUAGGACUGGUACAAAACAGAAAAAGAAAAUACCAAGGCAUUGCUCUGGGAACUGGGUCAAUUCUACAUAUCAGGGGUUAUUUUACUUAUAACCGCUGCUCAGCCAACUCUUUCCCAUAUCCUCCCAAGCAGGCAUUGGAAGGCUAAGGUCUGCAGACCAAAUCUAUCCUGAUGCCUCUUUUGGUAAACAGUGCUUUUGGAAUACAGCUAUACAAAUGUGUUCACUUACUGUCUAAAGCUAUUUUCAUGCUAUAAUGACAGAGUUGAGUAGAUGUGAAAAGACUACGUGGUCCAUAAAGUCUAUUAUUUUUUCCUUUUUGUGCUACAGAUUGACCUCAGGACUAUGCACAUGCCAGGCAGCUGCUCCACCACUGAGCUGCAUUUACAGACACUCCCACCAAAAAUCCUAGAGUACUUUCUGUCUUGUCAUUUAUAGGAAAAGAGUUUUGCUGAACCCUGCUCUAAGUGUAGCAAACACCAGCGCUUUCAAUUUUACCUCAGUUUGUUAACAUCUUUUUUUCUACUGGAUAAUGAUGUGGCUCAUAAAAUUAUUGAUGGUUGUUUUCUCUUAAUUGCAAUCAAGAACUAUUGUGUCCUUGUAGCUCCUAUUUAUAUUUCUUGCUGGUUAAUUAGUAUGAGUCAUUGUCAGUUAGAAUAGAUUUAAUCAGCCUUCAUAGAACAACAACAGUUUUUUUCUUUGGUCUUUUAGAGACAGGACACGGUUUCACUAUGCAGUUCAUGCUGGCCUUGAACACACUUUGUUGCCUGAGCUGGCUUUGAACUUGCAGCAAUCCUCCCGUCUCAACUUUCGGAGUGCUGGGAUUACAGGUGUGCACCACCACACUUGGCCCAACAGAUACUGAACAUAUUACAUAAACAGUCCUCUUUUUAACUGCUUCCUAGAUUUUCAUUGGGUCAAGUCUCUUAAAUCUAUCAAAUUGAUUUUCUUUUCUCCAGCAACAUGGUUAUUUUUUCAAACAUUUGUGAGAACUGAGUCUUUAGUUUUCACCUCUCUUUGUUCUGGAUUCAUCCAGGAUUAAUAACUUUUGAAUCAAUAAAGUAUCAGUAUAGGAAGUGUGAUGGUUACUAGAGAACUGUGAUGUCCAGAAACUAUUUAGACAUGUGAUGAGAUUAUUGUUUUUUAAAUUAUAUCUUGGUUGAAUUAUAAUUUCCAUGCCAUGUAAUUCACGCAUUUGAUGUAUACAAUUCAAUAGUAUGAAUGUAUCUCGGAAGUUGUUCAACCAGGAGCGCUAUCUAAUUUGACAGUGUUCACAUUAAUCCAAAAAUAAACCCCAUGUUCGUUAGAAAUCGUUCCCCCUUCUCCUCCACUAGCUCCUAAAAAUCAAUAAUCUAUUUUUUAUCCCUAUAGACUUCCCGUCUUCUAUACAUUUACUCUAAAUAUUAUUUUUAUGUGGCCUUUUAUGUCUAACUUAUUUUAUUAUUCUAUUUCCAAAGUUCUACAUUGUAGUAUGUAACAAUAUUUCGUUUGUUUUUGUGAUCACGUCAUAUUCGGUUAUAUGGACAUACCACCUUUUCUUUAGCCACUCAUCAUUUGAGUGACAUUAGGGGUAUUUCCAUGUUGUAGCUACUCUGGAUAAACAUGCUAUAAGCAUUCAUAUGUAAGCUUUACUAUAGAUAUAUUUUGAUACUGUGAAAAUAUAUUUAAGAGUGGAAUUAUGAGGUCAUAUGAAAACUCUAUGUUUAACAUUUUGAGAAACUCUAAUGCUCUGCCAAAGUGAUUGUAUUAUUUUACAUUACCACUGAAAAUGAAUGAUCAUUAAAAUUUCUCCAUACCCUUGACCAUAUUUAUUAGUAUACUUUUUAUUAAUGGAUUGGGGCUGGGAAUUUAAUUCAGCGGCAAAGCGCCUGCCUAGCAAGCGCAAGGUCAUGAGUUUGAUUCCCAGUACCAGAAAAAAAAAAAAGUAAAAAAAAUAUAUUAAUGGUCACACUAUUGGGAACAAUUUGGCAUGCUGUUAUGAUUUUCAUUUCCAUCUCUUCAAUAACCAACGCUGAUGAAUGCCUUUCAUAUGCUGGUCUCCAUUUGUGUAUUUUCUCUUAUCUGUGAUAGGCAGUUUAAUGACCUCCAAAAAAUAUCCCUUUGUAAAUUUCUCACAUUCAUGAGUGUGUGAUGUUUCAUGGCAAAGAGAAUUCAGGUUUCAGUUGGAGUUAAGACAGAUAAUAAGGUGAUCCUAAAAUACAGAAAUUACCCUGUAUUGUCUAGGUGGGCCCAGUAGAAUCAUAAGGGCCCUUAAAAUCAUAAGGACCCUUGUUCUGGGGGCUAAAACAAACAUCACCAUUAUAAUGGUGUGAUCUGAAAGAUAUUUCAUUGUCUUUUGCUGGCUUUGAAAAUGGAAAUGGAAGGCCACAAUCCAAGGAAUCAGAUGUCUUCCAGAAAGACAUACAGUUCUGAAAAUAGCUACAAUUUAGGCCAUUCACAUCUGUGUCAGACUUCUAACAUACUCA
ensembl:lincRNA